UUCGGCCAUAUCACGUUGAAACACCGGUUCCCGUAAACACAUCGAAGUUAAACAACGUCGGGCCUGGUCAGUACUUAGAUGGAUGGUCGUUUGGGAAAACCAGGUGCUGUAAG